rnacentral:rRNA from 1 species
AGAGUUUGAUCCUGGCUCAGAUUGAACGCUGGCGGUAUGCUUAACACAUGCAAGUCGAACGGAAACGAAACUAGCUUGCUAGUAGGCGUCGAGUGGCGGACGGGUGAGUAACGCGUAGGAAUCUGCCUGAUAGUGGGGGAUAGCCCGAAGAAAUUCGGAUUAAUACCGCAUAAUCUAUUCGUAGUAAAGUGGGGGACUUUCGAGCCUCACGCUAUCAGAUGAGCCUGCGUAAGAUUAGCUUGUUGGUAGGGUAAAAGCCUACCAAGGCAACGAUCUUUAGCUGGUCUGAGAGGAUGAUCAGCCACAUCGGGACUGAGACACGGCCCGAACUCCUACGGGAGGCAGCAGUGGGGAAUAUUGGACAAUGGGGGCAACCCUGAUCCAGCAAUACCGCGUGUGUGAAGAAGGCCCGAGGGUUGUAAAGCACUUUCAAUUGUGAAGAAAAGUUAGCGGUUAAUAACCGUUGACCUUGACGUUAACUAUAGAAGAAGCACCGGCUAACUCCGUGCCAGCAGCCGCGGUAAUACGGAGGGUGCAAGCGUUAAUCGGAAUUACUGGGCGUAAAGCGUGCGUAGGCGGUUUAUUAAGUCAGAUGUGAAAGCCCCGGGCUUAACCUGGGAACUGCAUUUGAAACUGGUCAACUAGAGUAUGGUAGAGGAAAGUGGAAUUUCUGGUGUAGCGGUGAAAUGCGUAGAUAUCAGAAGGAACAUCAAUGGCGAAGGCAGCUUUCUGGACCAAUACUGACGCUGAGGUACGAAAGCGUGGGUAGCAAACAGGAUUAGAUACCCUGGUAGUCCACGCCGUAAACGAUGAUAACUAGCCGUUGGGGGGAUUUACCCUUUAGUGGCGAAGCUAACGCGUUAAGUUAUCCGCCUGGGGAGUACGGCCGCAAGGCUAAAACUCAAAGGAAUUGACGGGGACCCGCACAAGCGGUGGAGCAUGUGGUUUAAUUCGAUGCAACGCGAAGAACCUUACCUGGUCUUGACAUCCUGCGAACUUUCUAGAAAUAGAUUGGUGCCUUCGGGAACGCAGUGACAGGUGCUGCAUGGCUGUCGUCAGCUCGUGUCGUGAGAUGUUGGGUUAAGUCCCGUAACGAGCGCAACCCCUAUCUUUAUUUGCCAGCACAUUAUGGUGGGAACUAUAAGGAGACUGCCGGUGAUAAACCGGAGGAAGGCGGGGACGACGUCAAGUCAUCAUGGCCCUUACGACCAGGGCUACACACGUGCUACAAUGGGAAGGACAAAGAGCCGCGAAGCCGCGAGGUGUAGCUAAUCUCAUAAAUCUUUUCGUAGUCCGGAUUGGAGUCUGCAACUCGACUCCAUGAAGUCGGAAUCGCUAGUAAUCGUGAAUCAGCACGCCACGGUGAAUACGUUCCCGGGCCUUGUACACACCGCCCGUCACACCACGAAAGUCGAUUGUACCGGAAGUCAUGAUGCCAACCCGCAAGGGAGGCUGCUGCCUAUGGUAUGGUUGGUGAUCAGGGUGAAGUCGUAACAAGGUAACC